rnacentral:lncRNA from 10 species
CAAGAAAUAGCUGAAAAUAAAACACGAACUAAGAAAUGGUAGUUUAUUUUCUUUUUGCCAUGCAGCAAAGGAGGGUCGAAUGUAAAGCUGAUACAGUUGCUGGCUGAGCUUUUCCCGCGGCAGCCAGUGCGUGCUUCCUCCACUUCUUCGAGACUUCUCCGUGCUCCUGCCCCACCUCCCAGGCUGAAGAUUCAUGCAGGCCCUGCGCUUAGCCCAGACUCUGGCCAGGCCCGGCCCAGCCCGAAGGUGGGCGGCUCCCGGCGCAGGGCGGCCCAGCCCCAACCACUGAGAGGAGGACCCUCCGGCGUCCUAGAGUGGCCGCAGGCCGCGGCGUCGGGUUGGAAAACCAGGAGAGCAUGGAGCUUUUUCGCUGGUCCGGCGCGGUCUCUUGCGUUCCUGUGGCGGGCACCUGACUCCCCAUGCCCGAGUACUGUCCUCAGGCGGAACGGCGUCUGCAGCGAGGAGCGGGGUUCCAGCAGGCUCGGCUGACGCGGUCCCUGGCAUUUCCCGUGCUGGCCCUGGGUCGCCCUCGAUGCUGCUUCCCGCUGGGAGCCUCCUUCUGACGGCGGAAAGGAGCUUCACCUGGGGCGGCCGGCGGGGAACGGAGAAGAAUCCACCGGGGAAGUGGACGGGGCUGGCUCCCGGGCCUGGCGCUGCGGCUCUCGGGCCGUCAGACCUCCCGCGGGUUGCGUCACUUUCCUCGGUUUUCUAGACAGCAGUUGUGGGGUUGAAUCCUUGCCGUGGUUUUGUAAGAAUUAAAUGAGAUAAUGAACGCGAACACCAAUCAUUGCUCUUUGUUGGGUGCUUCCUGUGGGCCUGGCAAUAUUAACAACACGAGCUCAUUCAUGCAUUCAUUUGCUACUCAGUGACUUUCCUGUCAAUACUGCAAGGUGCUGGAGAUGAGCCCCCACUCUUUGGUCAGUAAAACUGCCAAGAUCACCGACCUUGUGAAGACAUUUGAGGAUGAGAGAGACAGGGUCUCAAUCUGCCACCCAGCCUGGAGUGCACUGGCACCAUCAUAGCUCACUGCUGAUUCAA